GUCUGUGAAGAUGCGAACUACCUACAUCUGUACAGAAAGACCUUAUAAAGCUUCACUGUUCCAUGGGAUUAGCUUUGGGCCUUACCUGCUUAGCUUAGAAGAAAGGCAAAGAUGACAACCUUUUAGGGGGGCUUAAGCCAUCAGUGAGCUACCACUCUGGAGGUUAUAAUUCUAACCUUAUGUCAGGACCUAUUGGCAAAGGGACAAUCUUAGGGUGACAAUUUAUAUAGGGCGUAGGCCUCGCAUAAGGUAAUAGAGGCAUGCAAAGGUUUUCUUUGGUCAAAUGGAGAUUGCCCUUGAGUGCAAAGGCAGAAAGGAGCUUGAUUGUAAAACCUACCUAUCGAGUAGGGACAAAAGUCGAUCUUAAUAAUCCAACAGUGCCGAGUGAAAGAAUUAUCGCUCAAUUGAUAAAAGUUACUCUAAGGAUAACAUGCUGAUCGUCUCUAAGAGCUCACAUCAAUAGGGAGGUUUGAUACCUCGUUGUCGACACUUCACCACCUUGGAUUAUAGUAUGUUCCAAGGGUUGGUCUAUUUGUCCAUUAAAGUACUAUGUGAGUUGGGUUUAGAAUGUUGUGAGAAAGUUCGAUCCAUAUCCAAUGUGGGGUUAGAUUAUUGAGAGGACCUUCUCCUAGUACGAGAGGACCUGAAAGGACGUACCUCUAGUGUACCAGUUAUCAUGCCUACGGUAAAUGCUAUGUCACAUCCUAAAUCUGACCUGAGUGACAUCCAUAGUGCUCAAUCAGUGGGAGAAUCAUCUAACCC
rnacentral:ncRNA from 1 species